rnacentral:lncRNA from 1 species
CGUCCAUGUUUAUUUGUUCAUUCAUGGAUGGGGAUCUGUAUGCCUUCAUAAGAAUCUGAUAUCAUUUCAACUUUGAAAAAUAUCCGGGGUAAAACUCUGAAAGAUAAAAAUAAUUAGGGUAUUAGUUUCCUGCAAGACGAUAAAUUUUAAUGAUUAAGAAUACUGAGAUACUUGUGCCAGGACCAUCAGAUUAAUGAAUUAAUAAAUUAAAAGUCAGAAACAGACACAAGCACAUAUAACAAUUUACAUUUGAUAAAGGGGAUAUUUUGAAGAAAGGAUAAAUUGUCAAAUAAUAUCAGGGAGACAACUGGCUGUUUCGGAAAAAAUAAAUAACAUCCCUAAUUCGCAGCUAACACCUUCGCCCCAAAAAGUCCAGGUGUAUUAAGCACCCAAAUUUUAAACCUUUUAACAGAAGUGAAAGAAAAUAUAGAUGAACAUGUAUGAAUAUUGGAAUGAAGAAAGCCUUUCUAAAUCUGACUCCGAAGACAGAAAUUAGAAAGGAAAACAUCAGUUAUACAUAUAAAAACUUAGAAUCGCUCUAUAGGAAGGGACCCAUGAACAAAAUUAAAAGACAAAAAGUAGAUAACCAACAAAGACCUAAUAAAUAGCAGGGGAAUUAUCCUCAAAAUCUUGUAUUAACCUAUAAUGGAAAAGAAUCUAAAAAAGAAUAAAUCUUUUUAAAAAUCUAAGAAAAAAUAUAUAUGAUACAUAUAUAUGAACUAUUUUGUCAUACACUUGGAACUAACACAACAUUGUAAAUCAACUAUAGUUUAAUAAAAAAAUUUUAAAGACAAAGAGUAGCACAUAUGACAAUAGAUUAAUAUUUUAAAUAUAUGUCAUAUUACAUGUAAUACAUAUAAUUUUGAUAUAUUUCAACAUUUUGUAUUUAUAUAUAAGCAAUAUGAAUAUAUAAAAGCAACAUGAAGAAAAUUAAAUAAUAAAAGUGCAAUCCCUAAAAAUCAAAACAAAGAAGCAAAACUAAUUACACAUGCAUUCACAAAACCACAAAGAGAAAUUAAAUUUUAAAAUACAAUGGGUUUUUUUUUAGUUUUUUUGUCUUUUUAGGGCCGUACCCACAGCAUAUGGAAGUUCCCAGGCUAGGUUGAAUCAGAGCUGUAGCGGCUGGCCUACACCACAGCCACAGCAACACAGGAUCCAAGCCACAUCUGCGACCUACAUCAUAGCCUCCUGAAACAUAGUGAUUUAACUGGGCAUCCCUAGUAGUCUAUUCCCUAAGGAGCAGAAACUCCCAAAGGGGGGAAAAAAAAAAACUAAUAAAUUUUAAACUGUUUUUAAUAUUUAUAUUGUGAACAAUAAAGUUAGCAUUUCUAUUCCAAGACUGAUUGUGAUAUUAAGAGCCAAGGCUCUUGGUGUAGAAGAAGAGAGAUUAAAAAUAAAUGUUAGAUCAAUGCAAUAACGUAAAAAUCCUAUAGUCCUGAAUUUGAAUGGGCAAUAUCAGUAUGAACUUACAUUUUAUACUUGUAUUUCCCAUCUCUCCCCAUUUAAAGGGCUCAGAAGUAAGGACAACACCAGCAGUAAUAAGGAUACCUUUGCACCCAGAUUGUGUCUAUAAGUAUCAUUUUCCUCCAAAAGAAACCAGGAUUCCCCCAGAGAAGUUACUAAUUUCAGGUCUGAGGCAGGAAAUGUGUGCUAUGAGCCUGGAUCGUCUUUCCUACCAGAUAAAAAGGAAGCUAUCAGACUCCUAAGGUCAUUCAAAAGGACCCGGAAUCCAACUUGAAGAGGCACCUAUUGGCCAAAGCCAAGACAAUUUCACCUUGGUAAGGAUAACAAGUACAAUCAACUUCAACAAAUCAAAUAUAUUUAAAUGUCUGAAUUCAUAUGGUAGCCAUGGAGGAUAGUAGGAAACCAUCUCAUUAUUUUGAAAGAGGAAAGAAACCCUUAGCUUUCUCACCAAUAUAAACUGGACCUUAAGGCAACCAGACAGUUCUAUUUGGGAAAUUUCUCCUUCCAGAAUUUUUCCAGCUAGCAAAUAAAUGGCAAAGGAAUGAUAGAAUGUCACAAUUUUGGAAAUCUCUAAUCGAUAGAUGGAUGUAGGCAAUGAUCCUCAACAUAUCGUCAAUGCUGUGAUCAACACCAUAAAAAGAGGGAAGCAGGUGUUAUGAGCCUCCUGCUGGGAGUGCACAGUGCCACCUAAGAAGUGUCUCAUUGGGAGUUCCCCUUGUGACUCAGCAGAAACGAAUCCAACUAGUAUCCAUGAGGAUGCGGGUUUGACCCCAGGCCUAGUUCAUUGGGUCGGGGAUCCAGCAUUGCCUGCCAUGAGCUCUGGUGUAGGUUGAAGACACGGCUCUGAUCCUGUGUUGCUGUGGCUGUGGCAUAGGCCGGAAGCUGUAGCUCUGAUUCGACCCCUAACCUGGAAACUUCCAUAUGCUGCGGGUGCAGCCCUAAAAAGAUAGAUAAAUAAAUAAAGUAUCUCAUUAAAAAAAAAAAAGGAGCAAAAAAUCAAAAAAGUUGAACCUGAUCAAGUAUUUAGAUCUAAAUACAAAUUUACAGAUAGUUCAGGGGAAAGAAGGAUGCAUUAAACACCAUCACAGUAAUGGAGUUGGCAAAAGCCAGACCAGGGAGAGUUCUCCAAGGCAAAUAACCAAAGUUCUUUAGCCACAAAAAAGUAAUAAAGAUUGUGAUGGAGAAAAGGCAGGAGGAAGGGAAGGAAGGAAAGGGAAAGUGGAAGAGCAAUCUGUGGGUUAAAAGAGACUUAAACAUGUAUAGGAAAAGAGAGGAAAUGUGAACGCAAUAGACAAUGGACAAAGUUUAGAAGGCAUGACUAAUUUUUGUUUUAGUGUGGUGGUGGCAGCUUGGUUGUUUUAAGAAGGAAGUAUAUUUUAGAGAUACAUACGGGAAUAUUUGUAGAUAUAAUGGUAUGAUUAUUCGGGAUGAGAUUGGCAUGAGGUUUACAGGAAAUAAGAGUAGUCACGUGUUGAUGAUUGUUAAAGCCAAGAGAUGAGGACAUCAAGGCCAUUAUACAGUCUGUUUUUAUAUGUACUGGAAAAUUUCCCUAAUAAAAAGAUAAAGAAUAAUAAGUUCAUUUGUAUCAUUUUUGUAGAGUCCACAUGUAAGUGAUAUUGUGUGAGAUUUGUCUUUCUCUGCAACAUUCUUAACUUGAAGCAAAAGCAAUAAAAUACAAAGAUUAAAUUAAAAAAAAAGAUAAAGAAAAAAGCAACAAGAACCAGUUAAUUACAUCAACUGACCAAAGAAAAGGACUAAGAAUAUGAUCAGGCAAUCUAUAAAAGAAGAAAUAAAAAUAAUCUAUAUGAAAAUGAAAAAAAAAAUUGCCUUAGAAGAAAACUAAAAAAUGUAAAUAUUUUAAAAGGUGAGGUUUCAUUUUUCAUCUAGCAUGUUGUCCAAACAUUUAAAGAUGAACAAUACCCCCUGGUGGCAAGGGAAAGUGAAAAUGAGCAUCCCAAACAUUCGACUCAAGUGGCUUAUGUUUUCUGGGCAGCAUUUACUUAAAAAUCCUGGUGAGGAGGCAGGGAUCCAGGGCCAGCCCACCAGGUCGGAUCCAGUCAUAUCACUUACUGGACACAGGGCUCAAAGCAGGUCUCUUAACUGCUUUGGGUCUUGGCUUCUAGUCCUAAAAUGACUGUAAUAGUGGCACCACCUCAAAGAGUUGCUGUGAGGUUCAAUUGUGACUAUUCCUAAGAAACUUGGACCAGUGCCUGGCAUAUAGUGCUGGCUUUCAUUAUGAUGUUGGUCUGGCAACCUCACUUCUAAGUACUUAUCCUAAGGAAAUCUUAAUUAAGUGCACAAAGAUGUAUAUACACAUUUGUUUAUCAUUCCUUGAUUUAUCAAAGUCCCAAAGUGGAAAUGUCUGGUUAAAUAAAUUUUUGUAAUCUUUACCUUGUGAUACUAUGUGGCCAUUAAAUAUAAUUAUGUUGAUAUAUGAGCGUUGAUGUAAGGACAUUUAUAAUCUAUUUUCCAGAAGGAAAAUCAAGUUAGAGAAGAAUAAAUACAGUUGAACUCUAGGAAGGAGACAUAUGUAUUUUUUUAAUCAGGGCGGGCGUAUCCAGUAGUUGACCCUGGAUUUGGGGGUUAUUCAAACUUUUCUUUUUUAUUAUCUGUGUUUUCUAAUUUUUCUACAUCAAUCUUAUUGUUUGGAUAAUUAAAAUAAUUUAAUACAUUACAUAUUGUGAUGGUUAGUUUUAUGUGUCAACUUGACUGGGCUAAGGGCUGUCCAUCAGGUAAAACAUUAUGUCUGGGUACAUCUCUCAGGGUGCUUCCAGAAGAGAUUGGAAUUUGAAUCAGUGGACUGGGGAGUUCCCGUCAUGGCGCAGUGGUUAACGAAUCCGACUAGGAACCAUGAGGUUGCGGGUUCGGUCCCUGCCCUUGCUCAGUGGGUUAACGAUCCGGCGUUGCCGUGAGCUGUGGUGUAGGUUGCAGACG